AGGAAAGACCAGACAGGUUCCUGGAACAGAGUAUUUACAGGAGCAGGAUUGAAAUGCUGAAAGGACCUAAACCAGAUGAAGAAUCCCCCAGGAAGAAGUAACACCUGGGCUUUGAGAAUGAAUCAGCAAAAGGAAGUAAUUAAAAGAAACAUGCUGAACAAAGCUUGGUGUGGAAGCAACUUGUCACCCCUUCUGUGAGCUGAUCAACUCAGCAAACAGAGCACUACUUUGCCCCCUGUCCUUUUUAAUCUGUGCUUGCUUUUCCAGCUAGAAACCCAUAUCCUGUAUCCUACGCUGGCUUCCAAGCUUUGGACCCUGAACUCCAGACCCUCCUUUUCCCCUGACCUUUGAACUGAAACUUUGGCUUCCUGACUGCAGACAGGUCUCAAGAUUCUGCUGCCUCAUUUUGUUGCAUUGUUCACCAGGUCAAAAUCUCAUUGAAAUCAAUGGCAAAUGCUCAGAUGGUUCAAAGCCAUCUAUGCACUGAAAUUGUGUCUUCAUCAGUGUUAUGAAAUAAAAUUAUAAUCCUGCACAUGAGGAAAUUUAUGAAACAGGAAGUGGAAUACCAGCUGUCCUGUCAAACACAUAUUUUUUCAUGGGAUUUUAUGACAUUGGAAUAUGACUGCAUACAUUGACUCUACUGGAAUCUACAUGAUUACUGUGAACUGAGUAUUUUAUUAUUGGACUGAGUUUCAAUGACUAUAUAUUGAGGAUUGUAGUUUUUGUCUGUCUUUCUUGUAAUAAAUGCUUGUUGUUGCUGC